UACGGAGGGUGCAAGCGUUAAUCGGAAUUACUGGGCGUAAAGCGCACGCAGGCGGUUUGUUAAGUCAGAUGUGAAAUCCCCGGGCUCGACCUGGGAACUGCAUUUGAAACUAGCAGGCUGGAGUCUUGUAGAGGGGGGUAGAAUUCCAGGUGUAGCGGUGAAAUGCGUAGAGAUCUGGAGGAAUACCGGUGGCGAAGGCGGCCCCCUGGACAAAGACUGACGCUCAGGUGCGAGAGCGUGGGGAGCAAACAGG
rnacentral:rRNA from 1 species